AUUUUUUUUAUAAUAAUACCAAUAUGCGCAUGAACUCGUGAAUUUCGAUCCAACACAAAAAUAUAUGCUAAAUACUUAUGUGUAAAAGGAGUGUAUGUGGGUGUGUGUAUCUAUGUAGUACAUGACUUCGUAUAAAAUUGUU